GACGUAGGGUCCGAGCGUUGUCCGGAGUUACUGGGCGUAAAGGGCGCGUAGGCGGCCAUCUAAGUCAGACGUGAAAUCCCUCGGCUCAACCGAGGAACUGCGUCUGAUACUGGAAGGCUUGAAUCCGGGAGAGGGAUGUGGAAUUCCAGGUGUAGCGGUGAAAUGCGUAGAUAUCUGGAGGAACACCGGUGGCGAAGGCGGCAUCCUGGACCGGUAUUGACGCUGAGGCGCGAAAGCUAGGGGAGCAAACGGG
rnacentral:rRNA from 1 species